UUUAACAAUAGGUGGAUUUGUUGUUUCCAGCCAUAUUGUAACUUUUAUUUUAUGGAUCAAUGUUAAUAAAUGCUAUAUUAAAUUAAUGUGCCAUUGAAUAUAUGAGACGUGCAUGGGUGAUAUAAGAAUAGAAGAUAUAAUUUAAUUUUUAUCAAAAGAUCCGAGUGCUUUACUAAUCGAUUUAUACUUCUCAAUGUAUUUAGCAAAUCUAAAUACUUCAUGUGCAUAAAAUGCAUUUCUUCAUUGCCAUGUUUUUUUAUGUAUCCAGAUUGUCUCUAAAGCAAUAUCUACGUUGACUUCUCAAACUUUCAGGUCCAAUGCCAUUAUCCGAUGAUAAUUUAUCAAAUCGAUUAUAUUUCUCUUCCAAUAAUUUAAACGGUACAAUACCAUCCACCAUUGGGAAUCUAUCAAAUCUGUGGGACCUAGACCUCUCUUCCAAUGAAUUAAAUGGUCCAAUACCAUCUACCAUUGGGAAUUUAUCAAAUUUGGUGAACUUAUACCUCUCUUACAACAAAUUAAACGGU